rnacentral:rRNA from 1 species
UACAGAGGCCUCGAGCGUUAGGCGGAAUCACUGGGCUUAAAGCGUGUGUAGGCGGACUUCUAAGUACCUUGUGAAAUCCCACGGCUCAACCGUGGAACUGCUGGGUAUACUGCCUGUCUUGAGCCAGCUAGGGGCGAGCGGAACAGACGGUGGAGCGGUGAAAUGCGUAGAUAUCGUCUGGAACGCCGAAGGUGAAAACAGCUCGCUGGGGCUGUGCUGACGCUGAGACACGAAAGCCAGGGGAGCGAACGGG